CGAAUGGGUUUAGACCCAUGGCAGACGAGGUAGGAACACGUAGGUACAUACCGAGAAGUCGGGGAUAGUCUGGAGAAAUCCAGGAUAAUACUCGAUAGUCCCGCAAGGGUAAAGAUUUAUCGCUUCUUGAAUGGCCUGCGUUCUAUCAGCUUGAUGGUAAGGUAACGGCUUACCAUGGCUACGACGGAUAGGGGAGGUAAGAGCCUGACCCCCACCGAUGGAACUGCGACACGGUCCAG
rnacentral:rRNA from 1 species